AAGAUGGCGGCGCCCUGGUGGCGAGUCGCGCUGUGCGGGUGUCGGAGAUGGCGGGGCUUCAGCACCUCAGUGACAUCGACUUGAGCAACCUGGAGCGGCUGGAGAAGUACCGGAGCUUCGACCGCUACCGGCGCCGGGCAGAGCAGGAGGCGCAGGCCCCGCACUGGUGGCGGACCUACCGGGAGCAUUUCGGGGAGAAGACAGAUCCCGAAGAAAAGAUUGAUAUUGGGCUGCCUCCACCCAAAGUCUCCCGGACCCAACAGCUACUGGAACGGAAACAGGCCAUCCGGGAGCUUCGGGCCAAUGUGGAAGAGGAGCGGGCUGCCCGCCUCCGCACAGCCAGUGUCCCGCUGGAUGCUGUGCGGGCCGAGUGGGAGAGGACCUGUGGCCCCUACCACAAGCAGCGUCUGGCUGAGUAUUACGGCCUCUACCGAGACCUGUUCCACGGUGCUACCUUUGUGCCCCGAGUCCCUCUGCACGUGGCCUACGCUGUGGGUGAGGACGACCUGAUGCCCGUGUACUGUGGCAAUGAGGUGACUCCAACCGAGGCUGCCCAAGUGCCAGAGGUGACCUAUGAGGC
rnacentral:sRNA from 1 species